rnacentral:lncRNA from 1 species
GUUUAUAUUGAGGAUAUACAUUUUCUUUAAAUAGGGUCUCACUCUGUCAACGAGACUGGAGUGCAGUGGCACAAUCACAGCUCACUGCAGUAUUAACCUCCCAGGCUUAAGGGAUCCUCCCACCUCAGCCUUUCAAGUAGCUGCUACCACAGGUGGAACCAUACCCAGGUAAAAGUAAUCGUGGAUUUACAAGGAAGAAAUGGUGAGAGAUCCUGGGGAAGACUUUUGCUUGACCAGGUCGGGAAUCACCAAGGUUUAAAAGAAAACCACAGCUUCUCAGGCUCCUGAUUUGGAGCUGCUUCCUGAGAACCCCCGUGUACUGAGCACCCCCUGGUGGUUCUGAGUGCCCCUGGUGUCAUGAGCGCCCCCUCGUGGUACUGAGGGCACUGUGAUAUCCUGAGCACCCCUGAUGCUUCUGAGCGCCCCCAGGUGUCCUGAGCGCCCCCCUUGGUGUCCUGAGCACCCCCUGGUGGUUCUGAGCGCCCCCUGGUGUCCUGAGCGCCCCCUGGUGGUCCUGAACACCCCCUGGUGACCUGAGUGCCUGCUGGUGGUCCUGGGCAAACCCUCGUGUCCUGAGUGCUCCCUUGUGAUUCUGAGUGCCCCCUGGUGUCAUGAGCACCCCCUCAUGAUCCUGAGCACCCCCUAAUAUCCUGAGCACCCCAUGGUCCUAAGCACACCCUGGUGGUUCUGAGUGCCCCCAGGUUGUCCUCAAGGCGCCCUGGUGGUUCUGAGGAGCAUCUACCAUGCAGCUCCCUCCUGUCUUCCUGCAGAGAUUUUUCUGUUGGGGCUCACACAGAUAUUCCCUCUCCUGUGUCUCUCACAGUAUUACAAGGCCUUGUCCUUGACUUUCAGUUUGGUCCCUUUAAGGUAGACUGCACAUUAAAAGGUGUCACUUGGGACUGUUAAUUUAUUUGUGCUUAUGGAGAGUAACUCUGAGAACUCCCACUUGAUCACUCACUGUUUCCACCUACACAAAUCCCUGUCGUGAAGCUGGCUGGACCAAGCUCAUUGCUGUAGCCAGUAAAGGUGAAAUCAGAGGCUUUGCAUGAGAGUCUCAGUGAGCCACUGGGUGUACAAUUUUUCCCCCUCUGACUCCAUCAAUAAAUUUCACACAGGACUUCUGCAAACACUGAGGAAAUGGAAGAACGGCCCCAUGUGGAGCAGCCGCACCUGGACCUGAUUCACAAGGGACACUAAUAUUGAGGGUGAUGAGAAGGGAAGCCCAAAUCAGUGCAGACCCCACGGUGUGGACACUGAGGAAGGGAAGAGACAUGGGUUGGCUCCUCGCCAGGGCCUGAAGGAACAGGGGAUGAGCUGCCUUUCAUGAGGAGGGGAGGGGACACAUUUCCUUGUCUUUCUUUUUGUGGUCUUGGGUGCACCGCUCAGCAUUGCUCAUCCGUCCUCUGUGUCUCCAUUUCAGGGGGGCAGGGUCAAAGGACUCGUGGGUCUGGAUGCACAGGGUUAAUCUGCUGAUUAGUCUUUUUUAUUUUCUAGUGUGGACCCUGUUCAGGUAUCUUCACAGUAGCAAACAUUAUCAAAAAAAUACAUCCAGUAAGAACUUAAAAAUAUAUUUCCAGAGAAAACGGACACCAAUCUCUAAUCGGUGCAUUUAGAGCUACAAACUACUGUUCUUGACAAUAAGGCAAAGUUAAGGUACAAUAAAAAAAUGCAGAUCUACAACUUGUCAGGGAGGGAUUUUAUAAUUAUUAUCUUGAGAUCAUUUUCCCAUAAAACAGUUCAACAUUGGAUAUAUCUGCUUGUGUCAGGGAACAGUCACUGUGGAAAUAUGUGUACUUAUCAGAGUGAAGAGUUCACAUGCAGACAUGUUUGUUUGUCUGAGACAAGAGUCCACAUGAGGAAAUGUCAUUACCAGAGGAAAGAGUAAAUGUAAGGACAUACGUGGUGGUCUGAGGAAAGAGUCCAUGUGGGGACAUAUGUGUUUGUCUGAGGGAAGAAUCCACGUGAGUAAAGGUGUGUUUGUCUGACGGAAGAGUCCCCAUGUUGACAGGUGUGUGUACCCAUCUGUGGGUAAAUGCCCAUUCAGGGACAGUGUGUGCCUGAACUGAGCUGAAGUUUGGGGAAAAUCUUUAUCAACCAAGGAAAGAAAAGAAUUAUCUGGGUUAUUUGCUUGUCAGGAAGAAAAAACCUGGGUCACGUUGAAAAUUGAUUUUUUUAAAUUAAAGGUCUUUAGUGAAUGGUAACAUCUUAUAUGCAAAUGAGGAAAAUUACUUCAUUCUUUUUUGCAUGCAUCUCAUGAUAUCCCCACCCUCACCAAAUAAGUUAUUAGAUAACUUUAUACAGUCUGCAUUUAAUCCUGGGUUUAAUGAACUGCUAAAUACUUUUUACAAAAAUUGUAUAUAUUUAGGUUUAUAUUUUCCAUCACACAAUUAUGAGCUUAGACAAAUUAACUGCAUCGUGUCUCAACCAUUUUAUAGCACUAAAAAUAAUUUUACUAUUCUUAAACAGUGCCAUUUUUACUUAUUUAAUACUCAUUCUCUAAAUUCCUUGAAUAUCCUCUAUCUGUUUACUUGACUAUAGUUUUGGUUUAUACCGAAUUUCAAAUAAAUGACAUUAUACGGUGUAAUUGAAAUGACUUCACUGAAGAAAGUAGAAAAUGAAGUUGCUAGUCUAAUUAACUUUGAAAAUGAGGAAAUUCUGUAUGUUUAAAAUGUAAAGAAACUACACAUAGCACUCUAUUCUAGUAGAUAAACAUAUUUCCAAUGAGCUUUACAUUUCUGAUACCGCUAUGCAUGUGUCCUAAAAUUGUGCAACCAGGUAAUAAUAAGGCAAUUGGUGGGAUAGGAUUCCUCACUUUAAAGUGGAUGGUUAUGGACAGUCAAGGAAGGAAGGCUAGAAAGGUCCACGUGGUAGCAUAGUUGGGUCAGGAGACCAGUGUGUUCUCAUUUUUAAUAUAAUAAAGUUACAGAAGAUUAGGUACAUAAGUAGUUUUGAUGCGUCCAUAAACAUGGGUUCAUAUAAACAUGCACGUCUGCUAGGCCAGUAGGUUGAGAGGUCCUAGAAGUAAUUAUACACGGUAUCACAAUUUUUUUAUUUUACUGCUAUUCGUUAACGUUAGAAACAAGCAAGCUUUAGAGAAAUGGCUAAUUCUAUGUACAAAAGAGGUAAUACAGAAAAUGAACUUAGAAUUUGUUGUAAUACAAGGAAACAGGGAAGUGUUCAAAAACAAAAGGAUGAGGUGCACUGUAAGGAUACAGGAUCCAAACUAAAUGAGCUCCCAGGACCUAAUAAAGCUGUGGUGAUUUGAACGAUAAAAUGAGUAAUAUAGCAUGGAUCUUCUUCAGAGUAUGAAAUAUAUAUUCAUAAACCAAUACACAUAUUAAUAGAUGAUUAUGAAAAUAAAUAUUGGGAAGAUGAACACAUCUCCUUACAGAAGUAUUCCAAAUAUCUGAGGUGAAUAGUCCUCCAAUCAAGUAGGUGAAGUUUAAACACUCAUGAGUUGAUUGUGGCCUGAGCUUAGACACAUGGAAAAAAUAACCACUAUUUGGUAUUCUAUAAUGAGACUUCAGAUAUAAUGCCAAAAACAUCAUCUAUGAAUGAAUACAAUUUUACAUGUUUUUGAAUCUAAAUUUGUACAAACACACACAUACACACACAGACACAUGCACACACACACGUAUGUUUCUGCAAUACACACUGAUAAGGGAGUAAAGACAGCCACAGACUUGGAAAAAAUACUUCCAAGUCACAUAUUUGUUAAAUGAAUUCUUUUAAUUUGUUAAGUGACUUUUAUAAACAAUAUGCAAGUAAACUUACAAUGAAUCAAAACAAAGCAAUGCAGUUAAAAUGAACCAAAUAUCAGGAGAGGCAUCUCAACAAAAGUUAUUGGAAAAUUGUUAAAUAUGAACUUUUUGAGGGACAUGUGCAUUUAAAUAAAAAUUAGAUCCCAUUAUUCACCUACUAGAUUGGUUAAAACACACAACUCUCAUAAGGAUACAUGGCAAUAUGAAUGUGGAAAACCAAGAACUAUCGUGCAUUGAUGGUGGGAAUUCAAAAUGCUACACGCACAAAAGGAAAUUUUUUUGGCAUUUUUAAUAGAUAUAAAUGCAGACUUAAAAUGUGAUUUUGUGUCUGUAUUCCAAAAUACUUACAGCACUGAUUAAGAAAUUAAUGUUUACAGAGAUACCUUCAGAGGAAGUUCUAUAUUAGUUUCAUUAAUUUGAUUCAUUCUCUAAUCAUUGAAAUUUGUUUACAGAAUAAAUGUUGUAUGAAA